CGCCAGACUCCUACGGGAGGCAGCAGUGGGGAAUAUUGCACAAUGGGGGAAACCCUGAUGCAGCGACGCCGCGUGAGCGAAGAAGUAUUUCGGUAUGUAAAGCUCUAUCAGCAGGGAAGAAAAAAAUGACGGUACCUGAGUAAGAAGCACCGGCUAAAUACGUGCCAGCAGCCGCGGUAAUACGUAUGGUGCAAGCGUUAUCCGGAUUUACUGGGUGUAAAGGGAGCGUAGGCGGCGCGUUAAGUCUGAUGUGAAAACCCGAGGCUCAACCACGGGAGUGCAUUGGAAACUGGCGGGCUGGAGUGCAGGAGGGGCAGGCGGAAUUCCUGGUGUAGCGGUGAAAUGCGUAGAUAUCAGGAGGAACACCGGUGGCGAAGGCGGCCUGCUGGACUGCGACUGACGUUGAGGCCCGAAAGUGCGGGUAUCAAACAGGAUUAGAUACCCUAGUA
rnacentral:rRNA from 1 species